AUGACUGCAGAAAAGCGUAUACCAUUACAUAUCUUACGUGAGAUUACAAAUGGAUUCUCAGAGCACUCAAGGAUUGGAAGGGGCGGGUAUGGAGAUGUUUACAAGGGAGUUUACAGUGGGAGAGAGAUUGCUGUGAAGUUGCUUCAUGUUGAUACGGUGCUAGGACAUGAUGACAGACAAUAUAUCAAUGAAGUUGGUAACCUUUUGAAGGUUAAGCAUCCAAAUAUUGUACAGUUACUUGGUUAUUGUUAUGAAAUACAGAAUGAACUAAUUGAACACAAUGGUGCAAAUCAUUUUACCCGACACGUAUAUAGAGUCCUCUGCUUCGAGUACUUGCAGGGUGGAAGCCUAGACAAGCAUCUUCGUGAAGAAUCUUUUGCACCUGAUUGGAGCACGCGUUACAAGAUUAUAAAGGGGAUUUGUGAAGGAUUAAAUUUCCUUCACAGCUGUGAACCACCAAUCUUUCAUCUUGACCUGAAGCCUGCCAAUAUAUUACUAGACAGUUCCAUGGCGCCUAAACUGGCGGAUUUUGGUUUGUCAAGGCUCUUCGGUGGAUCACACACUCAUGUCACAAACAGAGUUGUAGGAACCGAGGCGUAUAUGCCACCAGAAUUCAUAAAAGACGCCUAUAUCUCCCAUAAGAAUGAUGUCUUCAGUUUAGGUCUUGUGAUGAUAGAGAUAAUUAAAGGGUCUUCAGGUUACUCCGGUUAUAUAGAAACAGACGAAGUCGGGCAAUUUACGCAAAAGGUGCUUGGCAAUUGGAAGAAUAGGAUAAAGGCUACUUCGGAGUACCCAUUAGAGGAAUCACAUCAAGUGCAGAUAUGCAUUGACACAGCAAUGCGUUUUGUUGAACCUGACAGAAACAAUCGACCUAAUAUAGCAGAAGUUCUGGAUAUUCUGAGCAAGACAGAAACUCAUAUUCCCAAGAGACAGAUGGCAGAUGUGUUCCCGUGUCCAACAAUUGGUCUCAAGAGCGAGUCUAAUAUGUUGGAGAUGAUGGUAGCUGAACUAAACAAUAAUGAACAUAGACAUUGCAAUUUGAUGCCAACAGAUAACUCUAACCGUACUGUGCAGCAACUUGCUGACAGGGAAACAUCAUCAGAUGUGGAACAAGUAAUCAUCGGAAGGACCAAGGAAAAACAGAAAAUAUUGUCUAUUUUAUCCGAGAGCAUCACAGAAGAAAUGGUCAUCCUUCCAAUAUAUGGCAUUGGAGGCAUUGGCAAGACAACCUUGGCACAAUUGGUAUUCAAUGACCCAAAGUUUCAAGACUACACUCGGGUGUGGGUAUAUGUUUCCCAGGAAUUCAACUUGAACAAGAUUGGCAACUCCAUAAUAACACAGUUAACAGACAAGAUCAGCAAUAUACCUACCAAACAGAUGCUUCAUAAACGCCUCAAAGAGCUAUUUGAUGGUAAGAGCAUCCUUAUUGUUUUAGAUGACCUGUGGGAGGAGAACCCAAAAGAGUUAGAUAAAAUGAAGGUUAUGCUAGGGCUUGGCCUAGGAAGCAAGGUGAUUAUAGUAACUACACGUGAUGGAGGUCUAGCAAGGAAAUUUUGUAGUCCUGCAGUUGCACCAUACAAGUUGGAGACUUUGACCGUUAAUGAGUGUUGGACUAUAAUAAAACAAAAAGCUGACUUUGAAGACCGAAUCGACCAAGAACAAUUGGAGCAUAUAGGAAGGGAGAUUGCGACCAAGUGUGGAGGAGUGGCCUUAGCGGCCCAAUCACUUGGAUACAUGUUGAACGGCAUGAGGUCAGAUGAAUGGGAGUCGGUGAGAGACAGUCAUAUUUGGAAUCUUUCUACUUCUGUGGGCCAUGAAGUGCUUGCGUCCUUACAGCUGAGCUACAGCCACAUGUCUGCUUGGUUGAAGUUGUGCUUUUCCUAUUGUGCAAUCUUUCGAAAAGGUCAGACAAUAGCCAAGUAUGAUCUAAUUCACCAAUGGAUUGCUCUUGGAUUCGUUGAGCAAUCUAGGAUAUUUGAUUCUAUGCAGCUCUGCGAAAAUUAUGUCACUCAACUUUUGGGGAUGUCCUUCCUUCAAUAUUCAAAGAUACCUUGGGGUUAUACACAAGAAGACAAAUAUAUUACAUUCUUCACGAUGCAUGACCUAGUGCAUGAUCUCGCAAGAGAGAUUUUGGCCCAUCAACUUAACACUGAGGGAAACAAUUGCCGCUAUGCAUUGCUCACAGAUUGUACCAAGUCAUUGCAGCUGUCUGUGGCUUUUCCUGCAAAUAUAUAUUCGCUGCACUUUAGGGGCUGUUACGGACAAGAACUUUGUGAUGGUGCAUUCUCGUCAGCUAAGUGCCUCCGUGUUUUGGAUUUAAGUGAAUGCUUAAUUAAGAAGUUACCUGACUGUAUUGGUCAACUGAAGCAGUUGAGAUUUCUUCGUGCUCCAGGAAUCCGAUAUGAAAUGGUUCCCAGUUGUAUUACUGAGCUCUCACAGUUAAAUUACCUGAACCUUGGUGAUUCUGAUAAAAUCUCAGCACUGCCGGAGGCCAUUGGUGAUAUGACGCAUCUUGAUUUAUCAGGUUGUGUUGAAAUACGUGAACUUUCAAUUUCAAUAUCAUUCGCAGAGCUCAAGCAGCUGGUUCAUCUGGAUUUAUCACGCAGCAGUGUGUCUACAGCAGAAGCUUUGGGUGGCUGUACCAAACUUCAAUAUCUGAAUUUAUCAGGUAACAAGGAACAUAUCGGAAGGCUGUCAAAGGCCAUUAGCAAUCUAAUCAAACUCAGGUAUUUAAAUCUAUCGGGGUGCAUGAAUGCCAUGGCGCCGGCAUCAGAAAACGAAAUUGUCAGAUUGCUUGACUCUGUCUGUACUCUUUCUAAUCUAGAGCAUCUGGACUUGUCUAAGAAUAAAGCCUAUUCCAUCAGUAUACCAGAAAGUAUUGGCAACCUCAUGAAGCUUCAUACAUUGUACCUCUUAGACUGCACCAGAUUGAAGCUUCCUGCUGAUCUUGUGGUGCAUGCUUCAAGUGAUAAAUUUAGCAGCAAUAUCAGCCUGCUUUGUCUUGAAGUGCUGACGAUAUAUAGACUCGAAAAUGUGAAGUCUGCAGAAGAGGCACGAUGUAUAAAACGGACAAUGCUUCGAUGCCUUAAGGCACCUGCCUUUGUGUCUAUGACAUGUGGGCCCAACAGGUGGCUGGCCCACAUGUCAAUGACCCAAAGGCAGGUGCAGAUACAAAAAAUUAUAGAGCUAAGAUUUGAAUGGACUGUCGUGGGUGGGAGGUCUGUGGAUGACAAGGAGGUAUUGGAAAAACUAGUGCCACCAACCAGUGUGCAGAGAUUGUAUAUAAGUGGUUAUAGCAGUGUCAGCGUUCCUAAUUGGCUUAUGGGUAUCAGGCAGCAUCUCCCUAAUCUUUCUCAGUUAUAUUUCUGUGAUUUUCCUAACUGCAAUAACCUACCAUCACUUGGUCAACUACCAUACCUACGAGAGCUAGGUCUGUGCCGCAUGGAGAGCUUGGAAGAGUGGAACACGGCAUAUACCAGUGGCGAGCCUAAGCUUGGGGCAUUGACCAUAGAUCAAUGUGCCAAGCUGAGGAUAAAACCAUGUGCACCAAGAGCUACGGUUUUGUGGAUAAUAGAUUCUGAUAAUGUGCUAUCAUCAUGGGAAGAGAAUUUGUCACACGGUGGUGCUUCCUCUUCUCCAAUAACAAAACUGAUUGUCAAAAACAGCAAGGUGCCCUUGCAUCAGUGGAGGUUGCUUCACCAACUCCCUGCCCUCCGUGAUUUAACUAUCACCGGUUGCAGUGAUCUGACCACCUCACCUAAGAUCAUCCAACAGUUCUCCUCGCUUGUAUCAUUGUCCUUCGACCAGGCAGAAUUGCCGAGUUGGUUGGCCAAGGUGACAUCUCUGCAGAUCCUAAGGCUGUCUGUGUGCAGAAGCAUGACGUCACUACCGCAGUGGUUAGGAAAACUUGCCUCUCUCAAGGAAUUGCAGAUCAUGCGCUGUGAGGGGAUCAGGUCUUUGCCUGACAGCAUACAACAACUGACUAAGCUUGAACAGCUAACCAUCCGUGGCUGCCCUACACUAGUGAAAUGGUGUGAAUCAGACUCAGAGGAGAACAAGAUGAAGCUUGCUCACAUCAGAGGGAUCGUCCCAAGAUCAUUGAUGGCACAGGAAGAGGACACAACAAAGGCCAUUCUAGUAGCUCCCAUUCAUGGUACUACUGUGAUGGAUGAGGCGGAUCCGGAUGUGCUGUAUAGUGCUGUGAUGAACAUGCCCGGCUUUGCUGAGGAAUAUUUGUUAGUUGCUCUGUCUCAGCUGAUGGACAACACUGCCCAGGGCUCCGCAUAUAUGGCCAUGAGCGAGGAGGACCGGGUAUCAUGGCUCAUUAACUUCUUGAAAAAAUACUACUCCCCCCGGCCCCAUUUAAUUGACGCGACCCGCAAGCUAAGUGGUAAAGCACACGAAGUAUAG
rnacentral:rRNA from 1 species